GGCCCUAUGGUGUAGCGGUUAGCACUUCGGACUCUGAAUCCGGCGACCCCUGUUCGAGUCAGGGUAGGGCCU